rnacentral:lncRNA from 1 species
UUGCUGAAAGAGGACGUUGGAAAUCUAUUUUUAGACAAAUGUGUCAUACUCGGUUUUGUUACUACUCGAUGAGGUGAUCUCUGUAUCGAGGAGACUGAAUCACUGUAAAUCGUCUCGGCUUAGUGAAUUGGUCUUCUCGAGCAAGCAGUAUAAGCAUGCGAGUGUCACCACCUUCGCCGCCAUGAGAGCUUUGCAUUAGACGACCUUGAAGAUGAGAAGAAACUUCCUGGAAUGAACCACCAGCAAGUCUCACGUGAUGGUCGCAUCUGGAACAACUUUUACAAUUUAGAGGGUCAAAUCACCUUCAAUUUAUUUUAUUAUGCAACUAUGUUUUCUGAAUUUAAAGGAGUUAUAUUUUUUUUAUUUCACACAGUUAUUGUUUCGCUUGUAAUAUGUUAUUGGUCCACCUUUUUUUUUGAUUUUAUGUGUUAAACCCC